UGGCGCUCAGCCUGCUCGCCCACUUUCGGACAGCCGAGCUGCAGGCCCGGGUGCAGCGCCUGGAAGCAGACCGUGGGGAGCAGCAAAUGGAGCCGGCUAUUUUGGGACGAGUCAACCAACUGCUGGAUGAGAAAUGGAAGCUCCACUCACGGAGGCGCCGGGAGACCCCGAAGACGUCUCCAGGGUGUCACUGCCCGCCAGGGUCCUGCUGGAAGACCCGGCCUCCCGGGGGACAAAGGUGCCAUUGGGAUGCCUGGACGUGUGGGAGGAAAGGGCCAACCAGGCGAGAAGGGAGCCCCAGGAGAUGCCGGGAUGUCCAUCAUCGGUCCCCGCGGCCCCCCGGGUCAGCCGGGCACUCGAGGUUUUCCUGGAUUUCCGGGUCCCAUUGGGCUUGACGGCAAACCGGGCCGCCCCGGACCAAAAGGGGAGACGGGACCUCCAGGACAAAAAGGAGAAAAGGGUCAGUGUGGAGAGCACCCACACCGGCUGCUGCCUCUCCUCAAUUCAGUGCGGCUGGCUGCACCCCCAGUCAUUAAAAGGCGGACCUUCCAGGGUGAACAGGGCCAGGCCGGCAUCCAAGGCCCACCAGGGCCACCAGGCCCUCCUGGACCAAGUGGACCUCUGGGGCCCCCAGGACUGCCAGGGCCCAUGGGGCCACCCGGCUUACCUGGGCCUCCUGGACCGAAGGGAGACCCGGGGAUCCAGGGCUACCACGGCCGGAAGGGAGAACGGGGCAUGCCAGGGAUGCCGGGCAAACACGGAACAAAGGGGGCUCCUGGAAUCGCUGUGGCCGGGAUGAAGGGUGAGCCUGGGAUCCCAGGAGCCAAGGGUGAGAAGGGGGCUGCGGGCGCCCCUGGGCUACUUGGCCUCCUAGGGCAGAAGGGAGAAAAAGGUGAUGCCGGCAACUCCAUUGGAGGGGGCAGAGGGGAGCCUGGGCCCCCAGGGCUCCCUGGGCCCCCAGGGCCAAAGGGGGAAGCUGGAGCUGAUGGCCGGGCGGGCGCCCCAGGACGGCAAGGAGACAAGGGGGAGCCUGGAGCAGCUGGAGAACAGGGACCUGCUGGCCCCAAGGGCUCCAAGGGCGAACCUGGGAAAGGAGAGAUGGUGGACUACAAUGGAAACAUCAACGAGGCUCUCCAGGAGAUCCGGACACUGGCCUUGAUGGGGCCCCCUGGUCUUCCUGGGCAGAUUGGCCCACCUGGAGCUCCAGGGAUCCCAGGCCAGAAGGGGGAGAUUGGACUGCCCGGCCCUCCUGGACACGAUGGGGAAAAGGGACCUCGAGGCAAACCAGGAGAUGUGGGCCCUCCUGGUCCCCAAGGCCCCCCAGGAAAGGCUGGGCCUGCAGGACUGAAGGGAGAAGAUGGCCUUCCGGGGAACCCAGGAAAGAAGGGGGAGAAAGGGGAGAUGGGGCAGCCAGGCCCACCGGGUCUAGACGGCCCAACUGGGGAGAAAGGAGAACCAGGUGACCAAGGGAGACAUGGAGCGACCGGAUUGCCUGGCCCAAUCGGGCUCCCAGGAUUCACGGGAGAGAAAGGAGAACCCGGGGAGAAGGGUGACCCAGGAGUGGAGGUUCCUGGGCCACCAGGGCCAGAGGGACCUCCCGGACCUCCGGGGCUCCAAGGCAUUCCUGGACCAAAGGGGGAAGCAGGGCUAGAUGGAGCAAAAGGAGAGAAGGGCAUCCAGGGAGAAAAAGGAGACCGAGGUCCUCUGGGAUUACCCGGAGCUUCAGGUUUGGACGGCAGGCCUGGGCCACCGGGUACUCCAGGACCAAUUGGAGUUCCAGGCCCAGCGGGACCAAAGGGAGAGAGGGGCAGCAAAGGCGACCCUGGGAUGACAGGACCAACGGGAGCAGCUGGGCUUCCUGGUUUACACGGACCACCCGGGGACAAAGGAAACCGGGGACACCGAGGUUUUAAAGGAGAGAAAGGGGAGCCGGGGUUACCAGGGCUGGACGGACUGGAUGCCCCGUGCCCACUGGUAUGGCAUCACCCUCCCUUUCCUGCAUGGCCAGUGUGGGCUUCCCCACGUGUGCGGCUUGUGCCUGUGCGCCUCUCCCGCUGCCCUGCACACUCCUGCUUGUCACUCUUCACUCAGUAGACACCAAGGGUCACCCUGCCUUAGCUGGUCCUCAGGGGGCUCCCGCCACGUUCCCCUCUUGCAUGCAGAGUCUGCCAGGAUGCUUUCUUGGCUUCCUCCUGCAGCUGCUUCAAAAGCCCAUCACCUUAAUGUGAGCGGCCCUCCCCACCCGAUGCCAACCUUAGCUGCAUCAGACCCUCCUUUCAGAACUGCUUCUAGACAAACCUGCCACCAGAAAGCAAGCCAGGGAAGUGGAUUCUCAGGACAAGUUCUUAGGAUUGUGACUUCUCUUCCUUCACACACUGCAGUUAGUUGGAAAAGCGUUGGCAAAACAUUUCAAUGAGAUGCCUCAGUUGGCCCCAUGUCCCGCUCCACUCCAGCAUUGCACGAUUUAGCAGAGGAAAGAUGGGCACCUUAUGAACACGGGGAAGAAUGAGGAGUUCUAGAACCAAAGUAGAGGAGGGGGUAUGCUGACUGUUCUUCUGGCAUAGAUCUGGGAUCACUGCCCUGGCGACACCCCCAGAACCAGGGGACGGUCCAAAAUCAGGAUUCUGGAUCCUGUAGGGUUCAUCCUUUAUGCUUAAAUCUCAGAAGACACUACAAGACCCUCCCUUGGUUUCCCUUUUUUUUUCAUCUUUAGGUGGUUCACAACCAAAAAGUCUGAAAGAACCUGGAAAGGUUAAGAAUGUAGUUAAGGAAGGGAAGGGAGAGACAGGGAGGGAGGGGCGACAUUUAGGACCCGCUCCCAAGCAUGUCCCACCUAAGUGGUGGCAUUUCUGGUCCUGCGGGGCCCAGUCCCUCUCCAAGCAGGGACACCUGAGGCUUCUACAGCAAUCCUUUGAACAUACUGCAGGGGAAGCAGGAGACGGCACUCCACUCCAAGGCAAUUGGCUCAAAAACUUCCUGUUCUCCUAAAUUUCUGGAGGAGGUUUGGAGCUCGUGGAUCUAGUUUCAGACCAGUAAUUGUCAGAUGAGCAUUCCCAGCCUCACAUCCCCACCCCAGGGUGACACAGGAAUUAUCUCUGUGUGACCCUGACAGGUGACCAUAGAGCCCCUGGAAGGGACUAUUUAGGACCACACAGGCAACACGAAGGACGGCAGAGCAAGCAGCGUCGCAAGCCUCCCGUUCCCACCGCGCUCCCCACCUUCCCACCCCCACCUUGAACCCCCAGCAUGCAGCGCGCACCGCACAGGCGCCUUUCUCAGCCAUGGAAUCUCCCGCGCCCUCCGCGGCACCUCCGUUAACCAAGCAGCCAGGCGUCCCCUCUGCCAUGACCCUUCCCACGAUCUGAACACUUGAGUUCUGACAACUGCAGCCCUGGCCUCCCUGCUUCUCACCCACACACUGUCACUCCCCUCUGCCUGCCCAGCCCUCCUCUGUCCCCCCUGCCACCAUCCACGUGCCAGUGGGAAUGCCCCUGUGGUCCACGGAGGCUCCUCUCCCUUCCAGAGACCGUGUGAAGUGUCGCAUUGUGGCGGGCUGGGGAAAGGGACAGAGGUCCUCAUGGAACCCUGGGAUGCACCACCUCAUCCUGCAGACCCUCCCCGACCCAGAGGGGACAAUGAAAGUUAUCUGGAUUUGACCUUACUGGCAUUUUCUCCAAUAACAUUUGUGUGUGACUUUUGCUGUGGAAGUGUACAUGCCUUGCCUUUCUUGUUUCUCAUUGUUGCUGUUCGCCGUCUCCUGCGCUGUGUUACUGUGGAAGUGGGGCGGGGCUGGGGGGCUGUUGAUCGGGAAUUUUAGUACAAGGUAACUAGACUUCUGCGGCCCCCGUGCAGGGCCGGCUGUCUGCUGGAUGCCAGGUGAGUGGUUUUGGCACCUGUCAUGGGUGGAUGAGUAGGUCCAGGGCACAGGGUGCUCCCAUUCCGGCUUCGCGGGGGCUGACCACUUGCUGCAGUCCCCUGAAACCUCGUGUGCGUCUCUUUCUCUGCCCUGGAGCCUGGAGUUCUAGAAUCUGGGCUGCAAUUCUAAUAGACCCGGACUAAGAACCAGAUCUUUGCCCUGGUUCAACCUCACCCUCCCCACCUGCCUCUAAGUGGUUUCUAGGUUCCCGCAGGGAGUGCCAGAGCAGCCAGGAUAGCAGGGCCCGAGGAGACUCGGGACGUCCUGAGGCUGUAGGUGCUCCGGAGGUGCACCGGCAAAGGGAACAAGCGGCACCCGGUGGCUUCCCAUUCCACCACUGCCUCUUCCCCCCAAGUCCCCAGCAAUGGCUGUGCCAGGAGCCCUGCCUCCCUGCUGAAGGCACCUCAGGCCCACAUUGCAAUGCCUGUGAAAUCACCCCUCCUCCUCCUUACUGGCCACCAGGUGGGAAUUGCCUAGAUGUCCUCCCCCAGCUGCUAAGGAAGAGAGAAAAAAUCAGAGAAUGGAGGAAGUGGGGGCGGUCGUUUCAUAGAGCCGCACCUGCCCCAGGUUUUACGGAGGAGGAAACUGAGGCCCCCAAGCGCUGAGUGACGCCCACGGGCACCCCGCGCUCAGUACAGCCCGAGGGGAGACCAGCAGGCCUCUAGUCUGUCCUCUCCACAGCAUUCAGGUGACCCCUGCUUGCUGAGCCCACAGGAUAGUGUCUUGGCCUUGCACUGUAACUACAUGUGAGCUUGGCCAGUGGGCAGACGGGCAGGCUUGCUUCCUGCCUCCUUUCGGCUCAGCCCUGGGGUAGAGAAAAGAGACAGACUAUAUCGGGGGGCCGCACCCUGAUCGGCCGCCGCGAUGUUUGUGGCCCUUGUUCCCCCUGUCCUGCUGCUUGGUGGGCCAUCCCGCAGAGUCUGAGCCGUCUGCCUUCCUUCCUCACUGCAGGGUGAAGAUGGCUUGCCAGUCCAGGGCUGCUGGAAUAAGUGAUGCCUCUAACCUGGGAUUGGCCUGUGUGUGUGUUUGUAAAUAGAAUAUUUAUUUUUAUACAGUUUCCACUUUUUGAAAAUGCCCAACGUAUGAUGCAUCUUACAGAUUAUUAAAAAAAAAGGAAAGCCUGCAUAUUUUGUACAGAAAAUACCAACCUCUUCCCUUUUGUUUACAAGAUGUUUUGUAUACGUCUAAGACUCUAAUACACUUUUCGUUAGUGAGUACGGCUGUACGUUUGCAUGAUAUUUGUGCACACUUAUUAAGUAUUGAAGCUUAAUAAAUUAUUGUGUUCCAGUGCCAAAGGGGGCCAACCAGCACUCAGGUGCUGGCUAGUUUAUGUGUGACUUCAGAGAUACAUGGAGUUCCAUGGUGUUUGCUAAGCUAGGUGUGUCUCAGAAUAUUUUAAACUCUUACGGAUUUUCAUUAUUAAAAAAAUUAAACAUGGCAAUUCUUGAUCCUGA